UACGUAGGGGGCAAGCGUUGUCCGGAAUCAUUGGGCGUAAAGAGCGUGUAGGCGGCCCGAUAAGUCCGCUGUGAAAGUCCAGGGCUCAACCCUGGGAUGCCGGUGGAUACUGUCGGGCUCGAGUCCGGAAGAGGCGAGUGGAAUUCCUGGUGUAGCGGUGGAAUGCGCAGAUAUCAGGAGGAACACCGAUAGCGAAGGCAGCUCGCUGGGACGGUACUGACGCUGAGGCGCGAAAGCGUGGGGAGCGAACAGG
rnacentral:rRNA from 1 species